GACAGAGGUCCCGAGCGUUAGGCGGAAUCACUGGGCUUAAAGCGUAUGUAGGCGGAUGCCUAAGUACCUUGUGAAAUCCCAUGGCUCAACCAUGGAACUGCUUUGUAUACUGGGUGUCUUGAGCCAAUUAGGGGCUACCGGAACAAAUGGUGGAGCGGUGAAAUGCGUAGAUAUCAUUUGGAACGCCAAUGGUGAAAACAGGUAGCUGGGAGUGUGCUGACGCUGAGACACGAAAGCCAGGGGAGCGAACGGG
rnacentral:rRNA from 1 species